UUCUAGACUCUAGUCCGAGCUUCGACCAUGGCCCCUGCUUCUUCGAUCAUUGCCCCUGCUUCUUCGAUCCACCUGGUUCUUCGACAAGGCCGAGCUUCGACCGGGGGCAGGGCAGGUACGGACCGAUGAUCUUCGAUUCUGAGCUCGAAUCCUUUCUUCCCGAAACUCAUGCUUACUCGAUUGAGUCGAUUGUGUACUCUCUCUCUCUCUGGCCAGUGUAUGUGUAUCGGAUUCGUCGAUUCUGGGAUUGUAUCGAAUCUAUCGAUUCUAACAACCGAUAAAGAGCCAUGGCAAGCUACUGAUGGUUGGUAUACCAGACAAGCCACUCCAGUUACCGGCCUUCCCAUUGCUAUCGGGUCGGAAGCUCAACGGGGGAAGUUUGAUGGGUGGGCUAAAGGAGACACGGGUUAUGCUGAAUUUUGCCGCAAAGCACAACAUCACUUCCAGACAUCGAAGUUAUUCCGAUGGACUAUGUGAAUAUUGCACUGGAGAGGCUUGAAAGAACUGAUGUCAGAUUCCGAUUCAUUAUCAACGUUGGAAAUUCAUUGAAGCCUACAGCCUAAGAAUAUGUCCUGCAGUUCACAACUAGUUCUUUUGGAUGUACCAUGUUGUUUCACGUUUACAUGUCCUGUGAAUUAAUUUGCAAUAGAGGUCUCACGGGUAGUUGUCAUUUUCCGAAA